GCUGGAGAGAGUGUUGACAUUUAUUAUCCGUUUCGAGGAAUUAUCUGUUGACUAAGUGAUAUUUCGAGGCAUAUUGGAGUUGUGAACACCAGUCAUCAUGAGUAAUGCUAUCCAGAGGAAAAGACGAUCA